rnacentral:rRNA from 1 species
CGGGGUGAGUAAUGUAUGGGGAUCUGCCUGAUGGCGGGGGAUAACUACUGGAAACGGUAGCUAAUACCGCAUAACGUCGCAAGACCAAAGAGGGGACCUUCGGGCCUCUUGCCAUCGGAUGUGCCCAGAUGGGAUUAGCUAGUAGGUGGGGUAACGGCUCACCUAGGCGACGAUCCCUAGCUGGUCUGAGAGGAUGACCAGCCACACUGGGACUGAGACACGGUCCAG